rnacentral:rRNA from 1 species
AGUGGGUGUAAUGUACCUACUAGCCUACGACGGGUACGGGUUGUGAGAGCAAGAGCCCGGAGAUGGAUUCUGAGACACGAAUCCAGGCCCUACGGGGUGCAGCAGGCGCGAAAACUUUACAAUGCGGGAAACCGUGAUAAGGGAAUCUCGAGUGCCAGCAUAUAAUGUUGGCUGUCCAGAUGCCUAAAAAGCAUCUGUUAGCAAGGGCCGGGCAAGACCGGUGCCAGCCGCCGCGGUAACACCGGCGGCCCGAGUGGUAACCGCUUUUAUUGGGUCUAAAGGGUCUGUAGCCGGCCAAGUAAGUCCCUUGGGAAAUCUGGCAGCUUAACUGUCAGGCUGCCAGGGGAUACUGCUGGGCUUGGGACCGGGAGAGGUGAGAGGUACCUUGGGGGUAGGGGUGAAAUCUUGUGAUCCUCGGGGGACCACCAGUGGCGAAGGCGUCUCACCAGAACGGGUCCGACGGUAAGGGACGAAAGCUAGGGGCACGAACCGGAUUAGAU